rnacentral:rRNA from 1 species
UACGUAGGGGGCAAGCGUUGUCCGGAUUUAUUGGGCGUAAAGAGCGUGUAGGCGGCCAGACAGGUCCGUUGUGAAAACUCGAGGCUCAACCUCGAGAUGUCGAUGGAAACCGUCUGGCUAGAGUCCGGAAGAGGAGUGUGGAAUUCCUGGUGUAGCGGUGAAAUGCGCAGAUAUCAGGAGGAACACCAGUGGCGAAGGCGGCACUCUGGGCCGGUACUGACGCUGAGGUGCGAAAGCGUGGGGAGCAAACAGG